AGGGUGUUGUGACUUGCAAACAGUUCAUCA
rnacentral:piRNA from 1 species